rnacentral:rRNA from 1 species
UGGGGAAUAUUGGACAAUGGGCGCAAGCCUGAUCCAGCCAUGCCGCGUGGAUGAUGAAGGCCUUAGGGUUGUAAAGUCCUUUCGGCGGGGAAGAUAAUGACGGUACCCGCAUAAGAAGCCCCGGCUAACUUCGUGCCAGCAGCCGCGGUAAUACGAAGGGGGCUAGCGUUGCUCGGAAUUACUGGGCGUAAAGCGCACGUAGGCGGCUUGUUAAGUCGGAGGUGAAAUCCUGGAGCUCAACUCCAGAACUGCCUUCGAUACUGGCGAGCUUGAGUUCGGGAGAGGUGAGUGGAACUGCGAGUGUAGAGGUGAAAUUCGUAGAUAUUCGCAAGAACACCAGUGGCGAAGGCGGCUCACUGGCCCGAUACUGACGCUGAGGUGCGAAAGCGUGGGGAGCAAACA